ensembl:lncRNA
AGCAAACUCUGGGAGAGGGUGAAAGGCAGGGAAGCCCGGCGUGCUGCAGUCCAUGGGGUCUCAAAGAGUCAGCAGCUCGUGUGGAGGAAUUUCUCUACAAUACGGAAGCUAGGAGCAUGAGCUGGAUGAUGACUGGUGCUCAGGCUCAGCGCUGGGAAACCAGAGUCAGAGGACCCACGUAGCUGAAUCCACAUCCUCUGUCCUGUGAGCUGGGCCCCAGGAAUGGUCACACCGUCCUUCCCCUGGAACUCUUGAUCACAUACAAACAAGGAGCCUGAGCUGUCUUGCUUCGUGGCCAUUCUGGGAAGGAUUGCUGAGCAGCCAAUGGGAAUCUGAAAAGACGAGUCUUUACACUUGGAAGAAACCUUGGUUAUGGUUACUUGCACAUGGUGUUGACUGGAAGCAAGCAGAAGGCAAUCCUACCCAAAUUUUGAGGGAAUUAUCUUGCCAAAGAGACUGCAGUUUUCUCGGAGACCAGCUGAUCUCUCCAUGCAGGAGCCUGCUUUAUCAUGGGCCCAGGCACCUCUGGCCCAGCCCUGUGCUUCUCGGAAAUGCACCUUUCUGCCCUGGCCUGCUGAGCUGGGCCCUGGAGCUCAC